rnacentral:rRNA from 1 species
CCUACGGGAGGCUGCAGUGGGGAAUAUUGCGCAAUGGGCGAAAGCCUGACGCAGCGACGCCGCGUGAGGGAUGAAGGUCUUCUGAUCGUAAACCUCUGUCAGCAGGGAAGAACGGUCACUGUGCUAAUCAGCAGUGAAUUGACGGUACCUGCAAAGGAAGCACCGGCUAAAUCCGUGCCAGCAGCCGCGGUAAUACGGAGGGUGCGAGCGUUAAUCGGAAUUACUGGGCGUAAAGCGCUCGUAGGCGGUAUGUCAAGUCAAGGGUGAAAUCCCCGCGCUCAACGUGGGAACUGCCUUUGAAACUGGCAAACUGGAGUGUGUGAGAGGAUAGUGGAAUUCGAGGUGUAGGAGUGAAAUGCGUAGAUAUCUGGAGGAACAUCAGUGGCGAAGGUGACUAUCUGGCACAUAACUGACGCUGAGGAGCGAAAGCGUGGGUAGCAAACAGGAUUAGAUACCCUAGUAGUC